rnacentral:rRNA from 1 species
AUUGAACGCUGGCGGCAUGCUUUACACAUGCAAGCCGAACGGUAACAGGCCGCAAGGUGCUGACGAGUGGCGAACGGGUGAGUAAUGCAUCGGAACGUGCCCAGUCGUGGGGGAUAACGCAGCGAAAGCUGUGCUAAUACCGCAUACGAUCUAUGGAUGAAAGCGGGGGACCGUAAGGCCUCGCGCGAUUGGAGCGGCCGAUGUCAGAUUAGGUAGUUGGUGGGGUAAAGGCUCACCAAGCCAACGAUCUGUAGCUGGUCUGAGAGGACGACCAGCCACACUGGGACUGAGACACGGCCCAGACUCCUACGGGAGGCAGCAGUGGGGAAUUUUGGACAAUGGGCGCAAGCCUGAUCCAGCAAUGCCGCGUGCAGGAAGAAGGCCUUCGGGUUGUAAACUGCUUUUGUACGGAACGAAAAGGUUUGGGUUAAUACCCUGGGCCGAUGACGGUACCGUAAGAAUAAGCACCGGCUAACUACGUGCCAGCCGCCGCGGUAACAC